CCGCCACUAGCUCAUCAGGAAAGAACGUCACCCUUCGAAGCUGGUUUCGCGGGGUUCGGAGUCUCCGAUGGCGGUCCA
rnacentral:tRNA from 1 species